UUCGUGGUCACCUCCGACGGGUCCGUCCUGGCGAAGCUCAACCCUUACCUCGAGGCCGGCAAGGUGAAGCCGGUGGUCGACCCCAAGGGGCCCUUCCCCUUCUCCCAGGUCGUGGAGGCGUUUUCCUACCUCGAGACCGGGCGAGCCACCGGCAAAGUAGUCAUCUCACCUGUUCCAUGAGACACUUCUGUAAAUAGCUAGCACAAGUGAUGUGUUUUUGUCAGAGUUUACUGAGCAAAUAUUUGUUGGAUCGUGCGUAUAAACAGAAAAAUAUGUGAUGUUAUCAGAGAUGGCAGUAGGUUCCUGGCG
rnacentral:lncRNA from 1 species